GCCGUUAAAAAUAGUCUGAACUAUUACUCGACCAGUCUGAAACAGUCUUAACCCAUUCUUGACAUGUACUCGACCUAUUUUCCCAGUCUAAACCAUACUUAACCAAAGGUCUGAACAAUACUCGACCAGUCUGAACCAUACUAGACCAAAAACCCUCUACUUUUUUAACUGUUUAAAUAAAUUUCUUUUUAACUGACAUAUAUAUAACAGC
rnacentral:lncRNA from 1 species